UCGGGGCUCGCGCUCCCCCCGGGCGGAAGGAGGGAACGCCGCAGGUGCAGCCGGGAGAAGUGGCGGACAAAGAGCGGCGGCACCUGCACUCACCAUCGGUGAAGAAGUGGUACAUGGACCAAAGUGCAGAAAGAGGUUAAGGAAGCCAGAAAGGGAACUCCGUGAGACGUGAACUCUGUAAGCCAGUGCCCAGAAGAGCAGUCAGACAGCAUGGGAAGUAGGACAACAUGGCAAGAAGAGAGUGAAGACUUAACCAGCACUGAUAGAUCUUUAAUUAUUUAAGAAUUCAGAUUCUGAAAUGGAAUCCAAGAAGCACAUAUUUCAAUUAAGCAUUUUUUUCCCUGUUUCUUUGUAAAUAAAUACCUUGCAAAACAUAUGCUUUACCACAAGGUACUUAUUGGACUUUGUAGUGGAGGACAGCACUGUAGUGCUCAUUUCACUUUAUUGCAGGUAUUUUUUGCUGAAAAUUAAAAAUGAAUGGAUGGUGUACGUAGGAAUAACUGUGGUUGCAUAUGAUGGAAUUUCUGUAUUUAUUAAUUUGAUUUUUUAGAAGUUUGGACACACCUUAAAGUACUCUGAAAAAAACAUUGUAUUUUGUAAGUCAAAAGCCAGACUGAUAUUGCAGUCAUAUCUUGUUGACAGUGUCUGCUCACGUGUAUAAUUAUCUCGCCGUAUGUUUAACAGUAUGAUCUCUUUACCAUUCAGUACAUGAGAAAAGUCAAGCUCCUUGAAGUAAUCACUUCUGUCAUGAAUGAAGUUGGUUAGAUAUUCAGUGAGAAAAGGGACGCAAAGAAGGGAAGAAUCAUUUUGUUUUUAAAGUAUUUGAAUUCUGUUUAGAGAGUUUGGAUGCCAUCCAGGGGCACAGCUGAUAUGUUGCCCACUUACAAUUUACAUUAGUGAGUUCACUGGUUCUCAUCUAUUCUAAGCAAGUAAGUUUACGCAGGACUUAUUUACCUAGGAGUAUACUUUUUUUCCAGUAUUUAUUCAGCUAUAGUGUGUUAGUUGUCGGACUGUUCCCUGUUCUGUCCUAGGGAGAUGUGUUGUGCUGGACAGUUCACUUUUCACUGCAGCUUCUGUUUGUAUAUUGCUCAUUUUCUGAAUGCACAUAAUGAAAUGGCAUGACUUUAGAGAAGGGCUGAACUUCACAGCUGCAAUGUAAAUCACUGGGAACUGGGCCCAGAAAUAUUUAUGGUAUAAAAGUUCUGGCAAAUCAAGGCACUACACACUACACUGCUCCCCAAAAAACUGACACUUCUUUGUGUACUCUGUCACAGAGUUCGUAACCUUCUUUCAUAGAUGUGCUCUGGAGAAAAGUUCAGAAAAGACUCGGAUAUUAGGAAAGGAUGAGAUAAAAUCACCCAUGAUCAAAUCAAUACCUUACGUUUACAGUCAAUUCCAGUGUAAUUACAGCAGAGUGGCUAAGGAGUAGAUAGCUAGUGCUUUGCUUUGAAUGAGAUGAGAAAAAAGUGUUGCCUAGCUGUUAAAAAUUGGUUUUGCAAUCUGAGUGUAUCUUAAUCUGCAGUACCUGAUGAGUAACUAUUCUGUAUUAUUGGAAGAUUGUUGUUCUUGUAUAGUUAGACCUGGAUGACUUAAAAUAUUUCAUAAGUAACAUCAACGUGCGCUUAAGACCUGAAGCAAUUAAAUAUUUGACACAAGUGCAUACUCAGAAGCUUUCAAAACAAUUGUAAGAAGUGCACUAUGGAGGAGACAUUGAUGAGCAACUCUGCAAUUUCCAUUAGACAGUAAAAUUAUGAAGUGAGUAUUCUACUUACUUAAAUUGAAAGUAUGCAUUGUGGCACUGCGUUAUCAUUAGAGACUGUUUUGGAAAAGAAUAGCUUAGGAGGAAGACUUGCUGCACACUCUGAGAAGUUACUAAACUUGUUGGUUGCCAGUAUAAUUGCUGCAGUGCUUUGAUUUCUUUUUCUGUAUUAGUAUGGGACUAGUAUGGAGUCAGCACAUCUUUCUCAGGCUGAAAUGGCAAUGCAAAGUGUGUAGAAAUAUUUUCAUGUGGAAUGGUGGUUAGCUGGCACAUUAGACAAUAGUAGCAGGAAAGAUGUUUUUGUAAAGUGAGAUGUUUAUACACUGGUAGGAAUGUAAAAGUAAGCCUGAUGAGGAGCAAAAAUGGAAAUGUUUUUGGUCACAAAGAAUGCAAUUAUUGAAUGAUAAUGGGGAGUACUUUAAUGAGCUGUUUAGCUGUGAGAAGGAUGAAGGCAAACAAUAAACUGUUAUUCUCCAAGCAGCUGAGACUGAGUAGAAGAACUGUGUUUUAAAGAAAUUUGAGAGGCAAUCAAAAUACACUGAGUAAAUAACAAAACACCAGGUGCUGAUGCAGCUUUUUCACUUGUCUUCUCUUAGAAUUGCAUCAGCUCUUCCCCUGCCUCAGAUCUUGAGGAUGUACAAUAGGUGUCCUGUUUUAGCAGUACAACUGCUUGCAGGGCUUAUGUUCAGGAAGGCUGAACCAACUUGAUGUGGAUACUAAGCGUGUAUCUGUAUGCGUUCCUGGAUUGAGGCCUGAGUAUCUGCCAAAUUCUGAUCAAAGAAAACAUCAGCUUCAGAAGAAAAAGCUUACUUAAAAAGAAAAGAAAGAACAAAACAAAAAAAGCAACU